rnacentral:rRNA from 1 species
GCAGUCGAACGAACUCUGGUAUUGAUUGGUGCUUGCAUCAUGAUUUACAUUUGAGUGAGUGGCGAACUGGUGAGUAACACGUGGGAAACCUGCCCAGAAGCGGGGGAUAACACCUGGAAACAGAUGCUAAUACCGCAUAACAACUUGGACCGCAUGGUCCGAGCUUGAAAGAUGGCUUCGGCUAUCACUUUUGGAUGGUCCCGCGGCGUAUUAGCUAGAUGGUGGGGUAAUGGCUCACCAUGGCAAUGAUACGUAGCCGACCUGAGAGGGUAAUCGGCCACAUUGGGACUGAGACACGGCCCAAACUCCUACGGGAGGCAGCAGUAGGGAAUCUUCCACAAUGGACGAAAGUCUGAUGGAGCAACGCCGCGUGAGUGAAGAAGGGUUUCGGCUCGUAAAACUCUGUUGUUAAAGAAGAACAUAUCUGAGAGUAACUGUUCAGGUAUUGACGGUAUUUAACCAGAAAGCCACGGCUAACUACGUGCCAGCAGCCGCGGUAAUACGUAGGUGGCAAGCGUUGUCCGGAUUUAUUGGGCGUAAAGCGAGCGCAGGCGGUUUUUUAAGUCUGAUGUGAAAGCCUUCGGCUCAACCGAAGAAGUGCAUCGGAAACUGGGAAACUUGAGUGCAGAAGAGGACAGUGGAACUCCAUGUGUAGCGGUGAAAUGCGUAGAUAUAUGGAAGAACACCAGUGGCGAAGGCGGCUGUCUGGUCUGUAACUGACGCUGAGGCUCGAAAGUAUGGGUAGCAAACAGGAUUAGAUACCCUGGUAGUCCAUACCGUAAACGAUGAAUGCUAAGUGUUGGAGGGUUUCCGCCCUUCAGUGCUGC